AUUGAAGAUAACGGGGCCACAGCAGAAGCAUUCAUGUCGCAGCCCCUGUCAGAUUCUGGUGAAUCUGCGGAUUCUGCU
rnacentral:ribozyme from 1 species